GAUGAACGCUGGCGGCGUGCUUAACACAUGCAAGUCGAACGGGAAUUACUUUAUUGAAACUUCGGUCGAUUUAAUUUAAUUCUAGUGGCGGACGGGUGAGUAACGCGUGGGUAACCUGCCUUAUACAGGGGGAUAACAGUCAGAAAUGGCUGCUAAUACCGCAUAAGCGCACAGAGCUGCAUGGCUCAGUGUGAAAAACUCCGGUGGUAUAAGAUGGACCCGCGUUGGAUUAGCUUGUUGGUGGGGUAACGGCCCACCAAGGCGACGAUCCAUAGCCGGCCUGAGAGGGUGAACGGCCACAUUGGGACUGAGACACGGCCCAGACUCCUACGGGAGGCAGCAGUGGGGAAUAUUGCACAAUGGGGGAAACCCUGAUGCAGCGACGCCGCGUGAAGGAAGAAGUAUCUCGGUAUGUAAACUUCUAUCAGCAGGAA
rnacentral:rRNA from 1 species